UACUUUGGUGGCGACCGGCGCACGGGUGCGUAACGCGUAUGUAACCUACCUAUAACAGGGGCAUAACACUGAGAAAUUGGUACUAAUUCCCCAUAAUAUUCGGAGAGGCAUCUCUCCGGGUUGAAAACUCCGGUGGUUAUAGAUGGACAUGCGUUGUAUUAGCUAGUUGGUGAGGUAACGGCUCACCAAGGCAACGAUACAUAGGGGGACUGAGAGGUUAACCCCCCACACUGGUACUGAGACACGGACCAAACUCCUACGGGAGGCAGCAUG
rnacentral:rRNA from 1 species